rnacentral:rRNA from 1 species
GGCAGCAGUAGGGAAUAUUGGUCAAUGGGUGAGAGCCUGAACCAGCCAUGCCGCGUGCAGGAAGACGGCCUUCUGGGUUAUAAACUGCUUUUGCCAGGGGCUAAAAGGCCCAUGCGUGGGAAAUUGAAAGUACCUGGUGAAUAAGCCACGGCUAACUACGUGCCAGCAGCCGCGGUAAU